ACUGCAACAGUUUACGCAAACAUUAGCCUGUGACGCUAAAAAUGGAACCAACACCCUUGUAGUC
rnacentral:tRNA from 1 species